GAAUUUUUUAUUCAUAAACGGACCUUGACUUUCAAACGGUUUAAUUUUGGCUCAAUUAGAAAGUUUCGAUUGUAAAAGAUUGAGAUAUUUUAUAUUGAAUGGUCAAGGUAAAAAGAUGAAACGUUUUAUGACGUAAGACACGGAGGAAAUAAAUAACUAAAUCAUUUAGAACGUUUAGAACGUGAUAAUAACCGUGCAACGUAUUUACAAGAAGGAGAAGGUCGCGGCGCGUAAUUUAAACUUUAGUGAAAUCAAUCGAAUGGUUGUGAAGCUUUUUAUCCAAAAGUGGAGCAAUAUAAAGAUAACAGUUUACGGUACUUUCUACCGUGUACUUGUUAUCUUCUACCAGAUGUGAUACUUUCGAAAGGAAGAAUGAAAAAUAAAAGAUAUUUAUUAGCUUCUAGUUGAAUAGUCGCUUGUUUUUCUAUCGUUUUAUUGGAAAACGAUUUGUUGGAGAAUACGAAAGUCGUUUGAAUUAAAAGGAACCGAUUUCGUCGAGAAUGUAGGUUAGAAACGUUCGAGUAUAAAUUAUAAAUAAUGAAAAGAGAAUGCGCGAAUCUUCUAGAUGUUUGCGAAUUUUGACUUUGAACGACAGAUCUAUCGGUUUAUCGAUAUUAUCGUUUACAUCAGAUAACUCGAAUGAAUCGUGAGCAUCUCUCUCUCUCUCUCUCUCUCUCUCUCUCUCUCUCUCUUUCUCUCGCUCUCGCUCUUUCUCGCUCUCUAUCGGAUCGAGAAAAAGCGAAGAACCGACAGUCCGUAAAGAUACGCGUUGCCGUGUACCACACAUACAGCACUUGAUAUUCUCCUACUAGUUUGAAAGAUCAUUUGUUGCGAUAGAUCAUAGAUAUAAAUGUUUUUAUUUUUCGAUGAAUUUAAAUGAUUCGCGAGGGAAGUAAGGGUCAAUAAAUGCGCGUAUAGCGUUCUCUUGCUUCAUAGGCUCGCCGAGCCUCAAGCGUCCAUUAAAUUCAAUUACGCCAAUCAAACAACGCGUAUAAUUAUAUUUACAAUUAUAUUACGAGCAUGAUGAUCGUGUCACCGAGCCUGAGCUUAAUCGCAGCCGGAGUGGCUUCUGGGCUUUGCUUUAUCCUCUUCAGUACCUUACGAAAAGGGAAAGAAGCAGACUCACGAAGAAAAACGAAAGAGAUCGUAGUUACGGACGAUGGGCGGUGCGCUUGCUGCCUGAAGCCUUUCUUGAUCGGACGCGGUAUAAGUUGCAACGAUUGCGGCGUCAGAUCCUGCAGAAAAGUUUGUUCUCGUUGGGAUUGCGAAGACAACGCCUGGCAUUGUCUCUUCUGCCAACAGCAAAGAUCGUGGGCGAGAAAAAAGGAGAAGUGGUUCGAAACUUUUGGCGGCACGUUCAAAAAGGAGGAAUUACAUCGUUACUUCGAUACGGCUAAAUCUCGAGUCUAUCUCAACGCAGGAUUGGAAAAUGCAGCUACUGGUUCGAGUUUGGAUCUGGCCGCGGGUGGUCAAGAGGACUCGAACACGAUGGAAACCGUUAGAAUCUUUAUCGAAAAAAUAAUCGAAGAUCUGAUCGGUAACGUGGACGACGCGUCUAUCGAUCGUCUCUACGAUCAUCCGGAAUACAAACCUUCGACGGAUUCGCCAACAAUGGCACACUCGGCUCUUCGCGAGCUCGUCGAACGGGCCGUCGAAGAGGCCAAAAAAUUACCUGGUCUCGCUGGCUCAUCCGUCGAUAAUCCGAGGACGAACGAAGAGUGUAAUAUUUCGGAGCACAGCUACGAAGACCUUCUCGCCACUGCGAUAUUGAAUAAAGUCAUCGAGAAAUUCCAAAGAGAACAAGUGGAUGGAAAUAGCAACGUCCUGCAUGAAAAGCCUUCGGCUAAAGCGGAAAACGAAAUCGAAUUAGGUCUCGACGAAGGCGUCGAAGAAGGUAGCAGCAGUUUGGAGCCUUUAUCUCAGGACGAAUGUAGUAGCGAUUGCAGCGGACCACGUUCGAGGCACUCACGAAAUCGUCAAGAGCCAUUAUCCCUUACGAUAGAGGAACGGAUAGAGGAGGUAACAACCACCUAUACAUCCGACGAAGAUCCUCCGGAAUGUGUAAAGAAUGGACUACGUAUCACAAAUGUUCGUCGUGUGCCAUUUCCGGAGCUUGGUAUGGACAUAAUCGAUCCCUCUCAGGAAUCUUCCGAUGAAAGCCAAGACGAAGAGUAUGUAUCGACGGUUCACGUCAAUCUCGUAUCACCGUUUCAAUCCUGGGAAGAGAAUUGGCUGUUUCAAAAGAAAAGAGUACCGAUUCAAUCGGAUCCUGUUGCCAUGCUCGUACCAAGCUCCAGUGCCGAUUUUAAAGCUUUGAUCGGCGAUAAGGAUGCCGAGGAUACCUCCGAUCUUUCAGAAUGUUCGUCGGCGCAAUCUGACGAAGAAAUCGAAAAGGAACUCAUAGAAGCGAUCAAUAACGUCGUACCACGAUCACCGAGAAUAUCGGAAUCCGAGAUGGUAGAAAGUUCGUUGAAUGAAAAUGAAGUUGCUAUUAAGAAUAUUGAAGAUUUUCAUUCGACGGAGAAGUCUUGCGAAUUUACUGAAACGUUAUUCACGUUGGAUGAUGAAGAUGGAAUUACUAGAGAAUUGUGUAACGGUGACGUUAAAUGCACCGAAAAGAUGAACGGCGAAAGAAAUGCGAUCGAGGAAAUUCAGGGAGAGACGAAACUCGUGAAGAAUUCUUUGAACGAUGGCUUAGAGAUGGAAGAAACGAAUUGUAAAACAGAAAUGAAUGAUAAAAUGUUUGAGACAGGGUCGGCGGAAUGCGAAGUCGAAAAUAAGCAAAUGGUAGAUUCGAAGAGUGAAAUACAAAGAACGGAUAUCCGAUUACUUCAGUCUCAAAAGGAUACCUUGCCGGAUGUGCCAAAGAUACCGAUUCCGUCCACGUUGGAAAAUAAUUUUGAUAUUGUAACUAACGACGUGACAGUUUUGGAUUUCAACGAGAAGGAAAUUUUUAAUUCUUUGGAAGCGACUCGAUAUUAUAAAAUAAUGGAUCAGGAUAUCGACGGCGAGGAGGAUAAGACGUUGUACUCGUUAGACGUCUAUUCUAAGGAAGAAAUACACUUUGAAGAUGGUGCUCAGCAAGAAAGCGAAUAUACCGAACAUUAUGAUACGGCAACACAGAGACACUUGGACAGUCUAACGAAAGAUGACAUCUACGUGUCACAAAAUGACAUAAUUAACAACGAAGUAAUGGAAAUAAACAAUACCGAGUCAAAUUCAUUGUUCAAAGACGAAACCAGCAAGUGCCAAGAAGCUGUGACAUUUGCCAAAGCUGAUUCGGCUUCUUAUUUAUCCUUGGAAAAGAUAGCCAAUAAAGAUGUACAACUGGCUACACCUCCACGUCCAGGUACGAUCGCUGAAAGAGAACAUAGAAAGUGGGAAAAUGCACCACCGAUUGAAAAUAAUCCUUACAGCGAACAGAGCAUUCAAAAAAGACUUUUGGAAAGACAGUAUAGCAGAAGGUCGGCGGAUAUUCCAGGAAUUCAUCCCGAAUUGCCGAAGAGCAACGGAACCGAUCUUGUUCUAGUACCGAAUGAACCGGAUAUUAAACGGUUUGGCAGAGAUUAUUACAUCAAUAAUGCAAAAUCACCAUCCGGAGAUAAGACACGAAAAGCAACAACAGCGUCCGCAACGAGCAGGCCUAGCAGUGCAUUGUCUCAACGUUCGGCUUCGACCGGGACUGAACAAGAACAACAGGUGAGUUUCGAACUUGGAAAGUUCGAAGAGGCUUCAUUACAUGGUAGCCUCGCUAGACGGAGUUAUCGCGAUCGACACGCCAGUCCAAAUUUUGCUAUCAACCCUCUGUUGCGUUUGGAAUUCGACAAAGAUUUUAAUCAAACGAAGAUCGCGGACGAACCAAGAUUAUUGAUCGAGGAAUCGGAGGAAAAUAUAUUUACUGACGAUGGUCAAAGUCGCAUUAAUAAUGAUGUUGAAAUACUUACCGGUUCAUGGGCAAGCAAAAUAUCGAGCAAGUUUCACAAUGAUAUAACCAUUAUCGACAGUAUCGAAUCCGACAAUGUGACCAUUAAUCCAUUAUACCAAUCUCCUAAGGAUGAACGUUUAUUGCCAAUUGGUUCGAGUCCAAGCGAUCGUGAUUCCGGUAUGGAUUCGAUCGAAUCGAACGAUCUGGGAUCUAAUAAAACGAAGGACGAUUAUUGGGAGAAAUUAUUCUGUUCAAAGGAUGAAAUUAAUGCUAAAGAGAAUCAAAUAAUAUCGACAAAUAACAAAAGAUACCUUAAUACGUUCAAUUACAAAUAUCAUACUUUUGGUGGAAUCCGAAAUUCGAUUGUCCAUAGGCAAGAUCGUAUAAUUAACGAAUUCGAAGAUGACGAUUUUGAGAACGACGUCGUGAAAGAUAAUAAUUUCCUUUCCGGUACACCCGAUUUUGUUAAUAUGAAAUUUCAAACGUUCGGUGGAAUAAAAAACAGUAAAAAGAUCAAUAGUAAAAAGAUACAAGCUUACAGUAGAAUAAAACUAAGGCCAACUAUGCAAAUGACGAAGGGAUCAAAGUUUAAACAUUCCGUGAAUAGAUCUAUUGUUAAUAAUAAAGGAAAUAAGUCGGUGGAUGUAACAAAGAGCGAGACUCUCGACGAGGACGAUUGGUUGGACGAAGUAGAACACGUGGACACAAAAUCUCUUGAAUGCAAAUUCAAAUCGAAGGAUAGGGAUUCUUUGCGUCUUUUAAAUUAUAAUUCUAAUGUUAGAAAUAGGUGUAAAAAGGUCCUCAAAAGGCAAAAGAGAAUAGGGAGUCUAGAAAAUAAGGAAUACGAUGAAGAGACAUGCAAAAAUGUAGAUAACAUGGAUGAAGUAACAAAUUUUAUAGACGAUACCUUGAGUAGUAGUUUGAAAUCAUUAUCGUCGACCAAUUCUACAUCUUAUCAAUCGGUAAAUUUGUCAAAAAAAGGCGGAACAAGAAAGAUGAUUGCCAAAGGCAAAUUAGUAAAACAACAUUCACGUUCUUCGGAGGAAGAAAAGUUGAAAUUGGAACCUCCUAUUAUACCACAAGUCAUUGAACAAAACUUUAAGACGUUGAAAGAGCUUAAAAUUUCUAAUAUUCGAAAAAAGAAAUAUAAAGAUAAUCCUACCAAAAAAAUAUUAAAUAUAAGAAGCUUGAGUAAUAUUACGAUUUGGUAACGACGUAAGAUUUGUAAUAAACGAACGAAGUACCAUUAUACUUUAUAGAUAUUUUUAUAUCAAAGUCAAAUUUCUGUAAUUAUCAAAGAAAAUCGAUGGAUCUUCCAAAAAAAAAAAAAUUGCAUUUAAAGAGUUAAUAUAAAGUGAAGUAUCUCGUAUUCUAGGAAUCAUUUACAAGUGAUAUAUUCCAAAGAAGUAUAUACCAAAAUCGUAGAAUCUUUUUUUCAAAGUUAACAUGGUGAAAUAAUUUAGAUGUGCCAUUAUUCUUCUUCCUAUUUUGUUAUUUUUUUUUUUUUUUUUGAACGUUGUUUAACCUUUUUUUUUUUGUUUUUUUAAUAAUAAUGUCAUGAAUUUUAUUCAUCUCAGGAAUAUGGCGGAAUAUUUAUAUUAUUUUACGCCUUAUGAUCUCAUUUAAGAUUUAAUUACAAAUAUCAAUUGUUUUGGGAGUAAACCGAGGGCCUAGCUGUAGUUAACUUUUAAUAUGUACUAUUAUAUAAAAGUUAUAAUAAUUUAAAUAUAUUAUUUAUGUAAUAUCUAUUUUUUUUUGUCGUUGUUAAAAAUCGCAUGCUUUAGGUGUCGGUUAUUUAAUACAUCGUUAUUUUCAGCAAAUCGAUAUAUUCGAUUUUUUCUUCUGUUACGCGUGCACUUAUCGUAGUUGUAAAGUCACAAUAAUAAUUUAUUAAUUAUAUUGUAUAUAACAGUGUAUAUAUAGUACUGCACCAACUUGUGUAAGAGUCACUGAUAAAAUGUGAAACUCGCUGUCUCUACUAUUAAUUUGAUAUUAUACAAAGCAACACUCUAUUCGCGCUGCAUAUGCAUGAAAGCUGUGAUAAAAUAAAUUGGAACGAAACUUUUGGACAGCUUAAUUUUGCCGAUUUCUAUCCUAAGGGUAACACAGAAUGGAUAUGAGUAUAUACUUUUUUGGACUUUCAAUUUAAUUCAUUAUUUCUUACUCGAAUAGUUUUGACUAAACAAGAAAUUAUGCUCUCCUAACACCGCAGACAAUAUUUGGGUAUAUGCUUCUGUUUGCUUUACUCAAAGAAUACGAGAUAUGACCUAAUCAAAAACUAUCGAAUCUUACGUGGUAUGGUAUGCAUGGUU